AGCGAACGCUGGCGGCAGGCCUAACACAUGCAAGUCGAACGAAGUCUUCGGACUUAGUGGCGGACGGGUGAGUAACACGUGGGAACGUACCUUUUGGUUCGGAACAACUCAGGGAAACUUGAGCUAAUACCGGAUGAGCCCUUAGGGGGAAAGAUUUAUCGCCGAAAGAGCGGCCCGCGUUAGAUUAGCUAGUUGGUGAGGUAAAGGCUCACCAAGGCUACGAUCUAUAGCUGGUCUGAGAGGAUGAUCAGCCACACUGGGACUGAGACACGGCCCAGACUCCUACGGGAGGCAGCAGUGGGGAAUCUUGCGCAAUGGGCGAAAGCCUGACGUAGCCAUGCCGCGUGAAUGAUGAAGGUCUUAGGAUUGUAAAAUUCUUUUACCAGGGACGAUAAUGACGGUACCAGGAGAAAAAGCCCCGGCUAACAUCGUGCCAGCAGCCGCGGUAAGAC
rnacentral:rRNA from 1 species